UUUUUUCUUUUCUUUUACAUCAUAUUUACAAAACAGAUGUUUCUCUUUUCUAUUUUUUUUUAUUUUUUUUUUCAAUGCUUGCUCGGUUUUCCAAGAGUUGUGGCACUUACCGAUUUUCAUUUUCGUUCUCCCCAACUUAUUUCUUACUCACCCUAAGUGAAUGCUCUUGACUUUUUACGGCAAAAGAACAAUUAUCAAAAUUUUCCGGGUUUCAAGAAAAA
rnacentral:lncRNA from 1 species